CGAAAAUUCAGAAGUGACGAUAUCAUCUGUUGAACGCAAACUGAGUAAAAUGGCCCAUACAUGAUACCAGCAAUUUUUAACAACUUAAACGGGAAAGAGAUCUGUCAUUGCAACAAUUUUAUCAAGAAAUUGUUAGAAAAAAAUGUUUCACAAG